CAGAAACCGAGACAAAUCACUGCGCGCCACUGCCGCUUCGGAGCAUCACGUCGUUAUGCCCCAAAAACACAACGGGGGAAGGAAAGGCCACCGUGUGUCCCCCUCCCCUCCCCCCCCCCCCACGCCAUGGGACACAGCCCUGCACCCAACGCAGCCGUGCUGUUUGUUUGGUGACUGUUCUGCUGUGUCUAUUUUUAGCUGGUGACGCCCGGGGUAUUUCGCUUCAGGAUGUCCGGUCUGAGCCUCUUUCUGGGAAUCCCAUGUUCUCUAAUUGUAAACAGCCCCACUCAGUUGCUGCAAGCACCGAGAGGCCCCGACUCAUACAGCGGGGCUGUCAGGUGUGAGUCAAACAGGAAGCUGCUGCCGCUUCCACAAGCAAAGCGUCGGGUGUGAAAAAGUGCUCCAUUCACACAGCCCCACAGCCCAGCCCAGAUCCCACAGCGUGGGGUGCCUCUGGAAGUGGGACCGGCUCCGUCCCUCCUCCAAAAUGCUGUCCCUGGGAGAAAAAGGGCUCCCGAGGGCCUCGCGCGUGGAUGUCGUUGCAGUGGUGCAAAGGGAGAGGGGAUGGGUGAGAUUGGGACGGGAUGGGAAGGGGAUGAGGAUGCUGAAGGAAUGGGAUGGGGAUGCUGAUGAGGAUGGGAUGGGAUGGUGAUGCCAAUGUAGGAGGUGCAGAGGCACAAGAGGGGACAGGAUGGAAAUAGGGAGCAGUUUUAGCCCCAUCUCCCACCCCGUGGGGCUGAGCUGAAGCAGCUGCCAACUUGGCUCAGAAACACUGACAGGGAGCAGUUUGGUCCUCUGCUAACAGCAGCCUGCUGCUGCCCCUGUGCAUUAACCCAGCCUGGGGUGACCCAAACACAUGUUCCCUGGGCCUUAGGAGAUGGGCAUCCAGGUCUGCAUCACCCCAGGGCCCAAGCACUGUGCAAAGGGAUGGGGUGUAAGGGCAUAGGAUGCCCUUACAGGAGAGGACCUGCCACAGUGACCACAACUAUUGCAGCAUGCAGGAUAGGAAGGCACUAAAAUGUGUGCCCUAAUUUCACUGGGGCCACAAAGAGCUGCAGCAGCACCAGCAGCCCUUUGCACCCCACCAUCUGAGCCCUCAGAUUCCUGCAAGCAGCAGCGAUGGCACCACGCUGCUCCCAGGGACCCAGCAGCAAUCCUCACAGCUCCACUGCUCUGAAGGUCCCAAAUGUCAGCAGUGCAACAACAGAGACAGCAAAAUCCUCCCUUGUGCUCCUCUGAAAUUGCAGCAUCACGGAGCUUGGUGACCUCUGCAUUGGAAGCAAUUUUGCACAGGGUAGGAAGGUCAGAGCCAACACCUGCAGCGCUGUUACAGGAGGCUGAUGCUCCUCCAGCCUCCCCAGCACCACAAACCUGGCGCACCUUGCAGCCUUUUGGGUCCCUUUGGGACAUCACACUCCUCAGCCAUCCCCCCGCCCAUCCCUGCCCUCUGCAUGGGCUCAAAACCCAGUGAGGAACUGAGCCAGCUGAGCAGCCCAUGGUGCUUUCACGGCUGAGGAGGGGCAGAGGACAGUGCUUACAGAAGGGUAAGGAUGGGUAGGAUGCUGUAACGUAGCCUGUAGGAACCCAUCCACACCAAACAUCCCCACGGACCUCAGCACUGAGCUCCCCAAAAGGAGCCGUGCGCGGAGCACGGUUGUACCCAUCCCUUAUCUGACUCAUUUCAGCAUCUCAGGGGAAACCCUGGCAUUGAUAAACAGCGCUCUGCUCUCUGCCUCCACAUUCACCAACCGAAAUCUGGAGUCUAUUUUUAACCCUCUGACACCCACAGCCGGGAGGGAGCCGGCAGCUCCCCGCGCUCGUGCCGUUGUUUACCGGGUGGGUGAAGUGACUGCAGCACUGGUGAGGUAUCGAGCAAAGUGAGACCAAAACAAGAGUGCUGAUGUGUCAUGCCACCACUUUCCAUGCUCGGCGCCUGCACUGUGCCCCCGGAUGGGGUAUGCAAAACCAGAAAGCUCCCAUGCUUUAAUUUUCCAGCACAUCCCCAGAUGAGUGUGCUGCUCAGCCUGCUCGUGGUCCACCGCCUGCUGGGGGGGGCUGGGCUGCAUGCAUGGCCAUGGAUGAAUGGGGAAAAGAACCUAAGGAGGAGAUGGGUUCAUCCUGCAGCACGGAUGUGGCAUGAAGGCUGCCUGAAUCCAGCAGGGCGGGCAGAGCUGCCACUGCUCGGAGCCUUCAUGGAGCUUUUUGCACGCUGCUUGUGCACGGGGGAGCGGAUGCUUUGUGGUCAGGGCAGGACACAGUGUGCUUCCUCCCGUUCUGGAGGAUCCAAGAGCAAAGCUUCCAGCUUUCCCUUGGGGAAACACCUCCACUCUGACCACUGCAGGAUAGAGAGGUCUGGUUGUAAUUCCUGCCUGAACAAAGGCUGCCUUGAACAGCAGCGUCCCAACCCCACCGCAGCACAACACCUGGUGCUCCCUUCCCAAAGCCCCCACACUCUCUGCAAGGCUUUUGGUGACCGCUGACUCCAGGAUGGCUUUAGAAUUGCUGGCUGGUUCCUGGCACCACAACAAGCAGCUCCUUUUGCUCUGCUCUCUGCCCAUCCCCAGCUCAGCUGGGAGGCAUCGCAUCACCCCGGUCUCCUCAUCCAGCCAGGAGCCUCACAUCCAGCAACACAACCUCACCUAGGAGACAUUCUCUCCUUGGGUUUAACGAUGGAAACCAUCUGCUGUUGCGUUGCUCAGAGCUUCACGCAGACUUCUUGCCUUCUCUCUGGGCACCAACUUUAAAGCUCCACCUUGCCUCCCCAGCAGCCCAGAAAUAACUCAGAAGACACAAAUCCAUCUGGUAGCCCCAGUUGGUCUCCAUUUCCCCAUCACAGAGGGGGCAGAGCCAUGUGCCUGUCUCCGAGCUGCCGGUCCCUCUCCGGCUCUUCCUGCUCUGCUGCAGCGUUGUGCUGUAAAACCUUCAUUUCCUGACACGCAUGGGAUGAGGCCAAGGGGUCGUGUUUUGGACAACCUGCCUUUUCCAUGGCAACUGGCAAUGAUGUCAGCGACGUGCAAUGAUCGGAAGGGGCCGGGGGAACGGUGAGCUCUCCAGGAACCAGGCAGGAGGGGCUGCUGUGGUGGUGUCCUGGGCUGGAGGAGCCCUGAAGGCAUCUGCCCUCCUCCCAGUCCCAUCCCUCCAUCCACCAUGCUGCUCCAUUCACUGCCAUUGCACAACGCAGAGCAUCCAAUGCUCUCCCCUACAUGGGUGUCUGCAGGACGUGUCUGUCCCGUGGCUGUGGGGUUCUGAGCUCUCCCAUUCCCUCUGUUCCUCCCCAUCACAAACCCCCUCCCUCGAAGGGGGCCCUUUUACAACAGCAAAGUAAUUAAAAGCUCCAGCAGAUGAGGACACCGAUGGCCAGCAUCAGAUUGAAUGCUCCCACACAGCCAUGUCUGUCUGUCCACCUGUCCAGGCUUGCUGUGGCCGGAGGCAUCUGCCGCCACAGCUCUGAGCACACUGCUACAGCAAAGUCCUGUCUGGGUCAGCUCUGAAAUACCAACAAACACACAGAUCAAAACCACCCUCCUAUGCACAGAGUUGCCAAGGGAUCCCCAUCCCAGCUGCCUUUGGUACAACUGGAAGUCCUAUGGACCUCUUUUCCACCUCAAAAGAACCUCUCCAGGUGGGAAGCAUCAUCAGCUCUGUCCCCAUUCAUUAUGCUAUACGGACUGACCUGGGCGUGCUGCUGCAGCCAGAAGGGAGCAAAGCCAGAAGAGCAUUGCAGAGAUGAGAAGCAAGAUUCUGGGAAGCACAAGCCAUGCACCCACAGCAGAGUUCUCACACAAAUUUAUUGGGUAAUCAGUAAUAAUCACCAGCAUUCCCACAGAGCACUUAUCUGCCUAAAAGUCCCAGCAAGGAAAGGAGCAAACAGGGCAGGCUUGGUCCAGCUCCCUGCUUUAACUCUGCCCAUGACAGCAAGUUGUCCAGGUGACCUGGUACAAAUGUACCCUCCUCAACAGCAAAUUGCAUCCGGAACAACCCAUAGGCAUCAGCAGAACAGCAGGGAGAGGCAAAUGGGGUGAUCGUAGGCAUGGAUCUGCACCAAGCGGGUCCAUGAAAGCAGAGGGAUGCGCUUGUGCUGUUGGUGGUAGCACAGAACUGAUGACAAACACCAUCCAAACAGUGGCAAACCUCACCCAAACAGUGGGAAACACCACCACAGUGGUGACAAACACCAUCACAGUGUGACAAACACCAUCAAAGCAGUGAUGCUGCCUUGCCUCCGUAUUGGACCUCAUUGGGAGACUUCAGCCAAAUGUGGGGAAAUGGCCCCACCGGAGCCUAUGGGAACCCAACAGCAUUGGGGUGGGGAAAGAGAAAACAAAACAACCCCACGAGAGGACUUCCAAAAACGCUGCACGAAAAGUGAACACUCAGCAGAGCGAGGUUUCCUGCGCAGUGAGAGUUGGCCGCCGAGUGAACAGGAAAUCACUGCUUCCUGCAUGCAGAGGAAGUGCCUAUCUAAUGCCUGUGAUCAAAAACAAACAUCGCUUCCAUUAAACAAACAAAGGGCCUAAAAACUUCAACAGCUCGCAGCCCAGGUCAGCUCCAGCAGCAGGGGGAUAGCGGCCAAAAAUAAGAAGCUGGUCACCUUGAGAAGGGCCCUCGUCCUCUUCCCUGCGUGGCAAUGUGGUUGCACUGCGUGCAGGAGGCAGUGGGGGGUCGGUGAGCCCCAUCUGUGUCCCCAGCUCUGCUCUCACCCCACAGCAUGGAGGGGAUGGGGGUGGGCACCAACAGUGACCGCAGUGCUUGGGUUUGGUAAAGUGUUGCUCGGAUGCCCUCUCGACCUUCUCCAGGUGAACAGUGCUGGGGCUCUCAGCAUUUGCCCAUCAGGACAUCCAUCAGCUCUGCACCCUCCAUAAGGAUCUCUCCAGCAGUUCCCAGUCUGCCUGGAACUGGGGAACACAGCACUGGGCCCAGUGCUCCAGUCAGCCUUUGGUCAACCCUUGGUCAACUGUUGGCCAACAGGGUUACUAUCGGCCUUCUGGCCAUAGGGGCACACUGCUGGCUCAUGGUCAGCCUUUGGUCAGCCAGCUGCCCGUGCUCGGUCUCUGUGCCUUCUCUUGGAUUUGUUUUGAGAUUUCAUUUCAUCUCUAGAAAUUCCAAACAGCUCUAGAAUUCCCUUCCAAACCGCUGCAGAGAUUCUCUUUGUUCGAAUGCAGAAUCCCUUAUCUUCAGUAUAAUGAAUUCAGGCUAUGGGGAUAGGAAUACUUUCUUACUCCAGAGAAGGACUUACAGACCCCGGGCUAUAAAUCACCCCCGUGAGCAACACAGUCGUGAGGCUCUGCUCAUCUCAGGGCUGGAGGACGCUGCAGGCUGCGCAGCGCCCAGGGACCUCGUGCUGUUAUUCCAGCUUGCUGCAAGCCUUUUGUUUUUGGACAAAUCCCAGCUGGGAGAUUGAUGUGAGGAGGCAGAGCAGGAUCCAGGUGCUGCCCGGCCAUGCUGGGGAAUGGAUCUGUGCAGAGUCCAUCCCCUGAGUUAUGGGCUCUGGGUGUCACCGAAUGCUGCACGCGUGCUGUUUCCCAGACUUAAAGCACAGCCAUGGAGAGGUGGAGGAGGUGGUUUUGCUUCAAGCCCAAAACAAAGAGUGGGGGUUUUUCCAGCCCUGGCUGAGCCCGAAGCUCCGGCAUCGCUCAUUCUGCACACGUCUGAUGCUCCAAACCGUCCUGGCUGGAAAAACCCUGCACUCCCAGCACGAAGCUGAGCACACUAAAAAGAAACAAAGAGGCCGGGGCUGACGCAGGACGGCGUGUUUGAAAGGCAGCUCUCCUCCGCAUUGCUCACAGCAAGACGAGAUGAGAAAUGUGCUUCAGGAACAAAGGAGGGCAAGCAGCAAACAGGGCUGACCCGUGGGGACAGGGAAAGGACAUGGAGACAGGGAAAGGACACGGGGGCAGCACCAUGCACGCCAUCUCCUUGCACCCCCCACCCCUCUGCACCCCCCACCACCUCGCUCGGCCCUCUCCUUGCUGUGGGUUUGCACCAGCACUGCAAAGCCCAUGAUGGCUUUUGCAGACCCGCAUGCAUCCGCCAGGCCCAGCACAGGGCAGGACGCAGCAGCUUUCUCCUCUGUGCAUUUUGCACUCGGGAGAUGCCAACGCGGAGAGCAGCAGAUCCAACCGCAGGCUGAUGGAAAAAAAAUGAUUCCAGCAUCACCCAAAGCCCCGCAACGGACAGCAAAUACGAAGGGUAAGGGAACGUGCACCGGGGCCUUCCUGUGUGGCCACCACACAAAAUCUAUUACUGAGCAGUUUGGCCAGUGAUAUUAAAACCAUCAGGUGCAGCCAGCACGGAUCUGCUGAGUGCUCACAGCACUGAGGCUUUUGGCCUGGUGCACCUGGUUUGUUAAAGAAAUAAUUACAGUUCCCCCAUUUCCUGCUCUGGAAAGAAAACUUCCUAACUAAUCAUAGCCAGUUCAUAUGCAUUUAAAGUGCAUUCAUUCUCCUAUGCAACCACAUAACACGAGGCCGUGUCCGUGCAGGAGGAUCUGCCCAUGGAUGCUCCUUUAAACGCCAUCUGCUCCUUCCUGAUGCAGCGCUGCAGCCCUAUGCUGGCGGAUCGAAGGGCUGCUGAGGCCGUUCCAUCCCUGGCUGGAAAAUCCAUGCAACAUCCCUGGAAAGUUGCUGGCUGCUGUGGAAGUGGCGGCCAAUUUCCUCAUUGUGAAGGUGCCAAGAACAGAGAUGAACUCCCGGAGGCUGCGACGGAGGGGGCUGUGGGCACUGAGCUGGGAAAGAUGGCAGAAGGAGCAGUGAGGCUCUCAGCUCCUCCCAGAAAUCAACGAGACUCAGUGAUGCCUCACAUCCAAGGGCUUCGUCUCCAUUUAUACGAGCACUCAGCUCCUGCUGGGAGCACAGCUGUCCCGGGCAGCACGGUGCUCAGGGGGUGUCCUCCUGCUGCAGGCUCUGGUCGGUAUCACAGCUGAUGCUGCUUCAUUCCAUCUCCACCUUUACUUCUGAGUUGUGAAGCCCAAUGUUAUCCCUCAAUGGGGUUCAGCUGAGUGUGGCAGUUUUCUGUUAGCUGAAGGACUCGGAUCCUCCCUGGAGCGGAGCAGCCCUUCCACGACCACCCAACCCAUCACCCAUCCCCAAACCCCUCCACCUACAGCUCCCAUCCCAUAUCCAGGCACCCCAUAGCAUUGCCCAGAGCUGCUGCAUUGAGCAGAACUCCCUAUGAGCAAAUGCCACAAACACAGACGGGAUGGGGGGAAAACAUGCAGGGUUGCAUUGGACCAAGAAAUGUGAUUUUAAGGAGUCCAAAAAGCUCAGCACGCAUUGAGGCUGCUCUGACUCAGCGCUCUGAUUGACUUUUGCACAACAGGUUCUGCUCUUUCAUACCUUGUGUGAUAAUUCCCCAGCCGUAACACCCAGAAUCACACCUCAUACCAGGAGGUUUCUCCUUUCAGAGCCUCCCACUGCAUGCUCAGGGCACAAAGCCCAUCUCCUCAGCCUCACAUCUGCACCUGAUGGCACAGGCAUUCCUUUCUUCUGUUUUUUACCCCCAAAGAAUUCAGCUCCCAUGAGAUUAAAGCACACUGAAGGCUCAGCACUGCCCGGGUACCCCGUUGCAUGGUACCCCAUUGCAUGGGAGAAGUGGGGCACAUCGCCCUGCCUCCCCACACCGGUGGCCAAAGCCUGUCCAGAGCUGCUUUCCUACAGCAGAUACAACCACUCAGCACCUGACCCAAUUUCCUGCUCUCAGCUGCAAUCUUCCAGUGUUUUUUAACACGAAAUCCCAUUGUUUGCACGUGCCCAGGUUUACCCUGUUAACCCAUAUCCCCCUCCGUCAGUCUCUUUUGUCUGUUUUCCAUCAGCUGCUCCCAAAGCCCACACCAGGAGGAUUCCACUCAUCCAGAUUAGAAGCACAAUCCAAUAUCCCUCGUGGUUGGGCUGAGUGGUUGCCAGAAGAGCCUCUUCCUCUUCCUCCUCCUCUUCCUCCUCCUCUUCCUCCUCCAGCCACCACCAGGUUUGUCCCCUUCACCUGGCCGGAUUCCUGCUGGCGUGGGAUCCACCCUUACUGUGGUUCUCCCCCACCUCCCGUCUGUGUUCCAGAGCAGGAAGCAGCAACGUGGGAAGCUCACCUGUAAUAAAGCUUUGAGGCUUUCUUAUCUCAUUUUGGCACAGAGGAUUACAACAGGCUUUGGGGGCUGCUCUUUUCCAUGCCCGGUCCCAAAGGCCUCAGACACCCCGUGGCAUUUCCCGAACUCAGAUACUGUUUCCUACGAAUCAGAUUUCAGCACAGACAGCAGAUCCUGGAGACAGAUGGAGACGAGGAGGAAAAUCCCCACACGAGAGCUCAGACAUCGACUGCAGCGUCUGGCUGAUUGGGCUGCGUGCUCUGCUCGGCCCUUUGCAGGGUCUGCAACACCUGUGGCACUGCUGCCCUCUGCCCCUCUGUACCACACGGCUGCACAGCCCACGUGCAUCACCUGUCCUUAUUCUGCACGCUGCAUUUCUCCCCACUCCCCAAAGUAAGGUGAGGGUAAGGAAUGCGCUGCGAGCCACUCAGAGAGCAGAGGAGCAGACACGAGCAGGACAGGGGCUGCUCUGAUCUCAGCAUCCUUUGGAGUUACAGCCCCUUCUCCUUUGUUCCCAUUGACACCUGAGAGCAAAACAGCAGCAGAGGCAAAGAGAGGACUGCCAGGAAACAGCGCUGCAGCCCCAGCCUGCACUGCUCCCCACGGCCCCACGUCACCAAUCCAUGCACAGCAGAGCUCCCUGCUGCUCCAGCCCAUCUCUUGCUUUGCUGCUUAAAACAGGAAAAGGCAGCAAGCAGAGCAACGCGGGCAGCAGAGGAGGGGUGCAGCCCCCCACACUGUGCAGCCCCCAGCUCCAAAACCACACCUGGCACCGCAGGACGGCCCUCCCGCAGUGCAGCUCAUGGGAACACGGUUGCAUCACGUUUGUUUUGCUUUGCUUUGCUUUGGAGAGGAGGAUUCCUCCCACCGUGUUGAGCAGCCCGUGUCACACGGCUGGCCCAGGUGACAUAGGUGACAAUGCCACCCACAGAUGGGACAGCACAGUGGGGGCAUGGGGAGAGCACGAUGGGGACAGCGCAAUGGGACGGCGCAAUGGGGACAUGGGGAUGGCACAGUGGGGAUGGUACAAUGGGGAUGGCACAAUGGGGACGGCGCAAUGGGGCCAUGGGGAUGGUACGAUGGGGACGGCGCAAUGGGGACGGCACGAUGGGGAUAUUGGGAUGGCACAGUGGGGAUGGCACGAUGGACUUGGUACAAUGGGGACAUGGGGACAGUGCAAUGGGGGUGGCACGACGGGGAUACUGGGAUGGUACAAUGGGGACAUGGGGACAGUGCAAUGGGGAUGGCACGAUGGGGAUACUGGGAUGGCACAAUGGGGACAUGGGGACGGCACAAUGGGGACAGCAUUGGCACCAGCUUGGGUUGGGUUGGAGCAGCUGGGGCACAUUGCAGCGUCACGCGCGUGGGACCCCCGGUACUCACCGUGGCUUUGUCCUUGCAUCCAGAGGAGUUAAAGCCCUUGGAGAUGCGGCCGCAUUGUCCGAGAUGUGCUCGGGGGGAGGCAGCUGCUUUCUUUAUAUCUCAAGAUUCACUGAAGUUCAGGAAGAGAGAAAGAGAAAAGAGAGGGGAAGGCGAAAGGGGAGGGACUGAGCAAAGGGCCCAGAGGCCGUAUAGAAUGACAAUGGAAGGAAAUGCUUUAUCAAACCUAGAAAGCCAACCCUGUCCUGGGAACACAGAGGGAGAAAAAAAACUCGCCGAAGAAAAGCGAGUUCAGCUGCCUCGGUUCCUCCCUUGGCAGCAGCCCUCCUCCCCCAUCCCCUCGCUGCAAACACAAUGCGAGCCCAAAGCGGCCGGCUCCAACACUUUUUUUUUUCAUUAAACAGAGAGAAGUUUCAGUUCUUUACAAAAAAAAAAAAAAAGAAAGAAAAAGAAAAAGAAAAACCCAACAACCAAACCCUGCCCGGGAAUGGGAAUGUGACGCUCUUCCCCCUCCCCCGGCUGCAGCCUUCCAAGUUUCUAUGAGUCAAACGUUUGCAAUGUGUUACCGAAAUGUUACCAAGCUGGAAUGCGGCAUCCGAGAGGGUUUCGCUAAUAAAACUUCUGUUUGUUGGCUGGGAGAAAAGUGACACCGGCACAGAACGCCGCUCUUCUGCCUUUUGCUUUGCCCAUCCGGGUGCUGAGAGAGAGGAACCCGACGAGAGGGCAUCGAUGUCCCAAUGGGAAAUGGCGCUGCCAGGGGAGAUGCUGAGGGAAGUGGUAAAUGCGAUGCUGCAGGUGGGGAAUGGAGGUGAAACGUCGGGGCUGGUCCUGCAGCACGGUGAGGAUGGGCCCAGAGCUGAGAGCCCGAAGCCCUUCAGGCAGGUUUUGGAUCAGGAAUUGGGUCAGAUUUUGGAUCCUCGCCCCGCAGCUCCUGGGAUCAUUGCCGCUUCAUGGGAUGGCUGGGUUGGAAGGGACCUCCGUCCCAAAAUGGGGAUUCCAAUGAAGACAACUGAGCUCAAUUCUCUACAGAGUUCUAGGAAACCCAGUGCUUCCCAGUGUCACAAAACACACAGCAGGUGGGAAUUAGGUGAUCUCUGAGGUCCCUUCCAACCCAACCAUCCUAUGGUUCUUUGAUGACGAGAUGGGUUUUGGUUUUUGGGUUGGAGAACCACCACUGACCUGUCCUGGCUAUUUCCAGCCCGUGCGUGCUUUCUCCUUUGAUGCCAUUGGAACAACAAUGGUGGAAAAGAGGGAGUACGAUGGACCUCCUCCCACCUCCAAAAACCAACUCCUGGUUAAGCAGGUCGUUGUGAGACCAGGAACAGCCCAGGUCUACAGAGGCAGAAGUUCAGUUUGGCUGUUCCAUGGGAAAAUGCCCAUUUAUCCUCAAAAUGGAAGCAGCAACAUUCACAUUCAACAGAACGAAAGGGAACUUGGGGGGAUCCAUCAGACUUCUGUGGGUUUCUCCCCAAAUACAGAGGUGUUCCAGGCAGCUCCGUCCUGAAGGAGCCCUGCAGUGUCCCCAUAUGGGGUCACUCCUGCUCUGCUCGGAGCCAAUCCUGAGUUGCAAACUUUUCCCCCGUUGGAUCCUGGCUUUGUGUGCACGUUGAGGUGCGUGGAGUCCUUUCACACAGCAAAGUGCCAAAAGCAGAGCUGUCCAAACCCAGAGAUAAGGGACGGGGCCUUGCUUUAACAAAGAGGCAUUUCCAUAUCUGAGGAAGUGAGGCAAUUCUGCCUCGUUAAGAAGGCUGACAAAAGUCUC
rnacentral:lncRNA from 1 species